UCGCACGAGAAAGGGGAGCAAUCCCUGAGUAAAGUGGCGUACGGGUGAGUAACACGUGGAUCAUCUACCUUUUAGUGGGGAAUACCUCCGGGAAACUGGAGACAAUACCGCAUAAGCUCGUAAGAGGAAAGCCGAAAGGCGCUGAAAGAGGAGUCCGCGGCUGAUUAGCUAGAUGGCGGGGUAACGGCCCACCAUGGCGAAGAUCGGUAGCCGGCCUGAGAGGGCACACGGCCACACUGGCACCGAAACACGGGCCAGACUCCUACGGGAGGCAGCAGUGGGGAAUCUUGCACAAUGGGGGAAACCCUGAUGCAGCGACGCCGCGUGAGCGAUGAAGCCCUUCGGGGUGUAAAGCUCUUUCGACGGGAACGAUAAUGACGGUACCCGAAGAAGAAGCUGCGGCUAACUACGUGCCAGCAGCCGCGGUAAUACGUAGGCAGCAAGCGUUGUUCGGAAUUACUGGGCGUAAAGAGUGUGUAGGCGGUGUUCUAAGUCUGUUGUGAAAUCUCCCGGCUCAACUGGGAGGGUGCGGCGGAGACUGGAAUGCUAGAGUAUGGGAGAGGUAAGCGGAAUUCCUGGUGUAGCGGUGAAAUGCGUAGAUAUCAGGAGGAACACCUGUGGUGUAGACAGCUUACUGGACCAUGACUGACGCUGAGACACGAAAGCGUGGGUAGCAAACAGGAUUAGAUACCCUGGUAGUCCACGCCCUAAACGAUGCAUACUUGGUGUGAGCCAUUCAUUUUGGUUCGUGCCGGAGCUAACGCGUUAAGUAUGCCCGCCUGGGGAGUACGGUCGCAAGGCUGAAACUCAAAGGGAAUUGACG
rnacentral:rRNA from 1 species